rnacentral:rRNA from 1 species
CCUACGGGAGGCAGCAGUGAGGAAUAUUGGUCAAUGGCCGGAAGGCUGAACCAGCCAAGUCGCGUGAGGGAAUAAGGCCCUAUGGGUUGUAAACUUCUUUUCUCGGGGACGAAGCAAGUGACGGUACCUGAGGAAUAAGCCACGGCUAACUACGUGCCAGCAGCCGCGGUAAUACGUAGGUGGCAAGCGUUAUCCGGAUUUACUGGGUGUAAAGGGCGUGUAGGCGGGGACGCAAGUCAGAUGUGAAAACCACGGGCUCAACCUGUGGCCUGCAUUUGAAACUGUGUUUCUUGAGUACUGGAGAGGCAGACGGAAUUCCUAGUGUAGCGGUGAAAUGCGUAGAGAUUAGGAGGAACACCAGUGGCGAAGGCGGUCUGCUGGACAGCAACUGACGCUGAGGCGCGAAAGCGUGGGGAGCAAACAGGAUUAGAUACCCGGGUAGUC